rnacentral:rRNA from 1 species
AUUGAACGCUGGCGGAAUGCUUUACACAUGCAAGUCGAACGGCAGCACGGGAGCUUGCUCCUGGUGGCAAGUGGCGAACGGGUGAGUAAUGCGUCGGAACGUACCGAGUAAUGGGGGAUAACGCAGCGAAAGCUGUGCUAAUACCGCAUACGCCCUGAGGGGGAAAGUGGGGGAUCGCAAGACCUCACGUUAUUCGAGCGGCCGACGUCUGAUUAGCUAGUUGGUGGGGUAAAGGCCUACCAAGGCGACGAUCAGUAGCGGGUCUGAGAGGAUGAUCCGCCACACUGGAACUGAGACACGGUCCAGACUCCUACGGGAGGCAGCAGUGGGGAAUUUUGGACAAUGGGGGCAACCCUGAUCCAGCCAUUCCGCGUGAGUGAAGAAGGCCUCGGUUGUAA